rnacentral:rRNA from 2 species
CACCUCUUGUUACACAAAAUAUAAGAGGCCCCGCCUGCCCUGUGACAAUAAGUUUAACGGCCGCGGUAUUUUAACCGUGCGAAGGUAGCGUAAUCACUUGUCUUUUAAAUGGAGACCAGUAUGAAUGGCAUCACGAGGGCUUAACUGUCUCCCCUCUCCAGUCAAUGAAAUUGACCUUCCCGUGCAGAGGCGGGAAUAUUAAUAUAAGACGAGAAGACCCUGUGGAGCUUUAGACCUAAAAUAAAUCACGUCUAGUAUACUGAAAUACCAGCAAAAGCCUAGUGGUUACAUAUUGAAGUGUCUUUGGUUGGGGCGACCGCGGGGUAAAACACAACCCCCUUGUGGACUGGGGAUAUUAUCCCUAAUACUCAGAGCCUCUACUCCAAGUAACAGAAAUUCUGACUUUCUGAUCCGGUAUUACCGAUCAACGAACCGAGUUACCCCAGGGAUAACAGCGCAAUCCCCUCUCAGAGCCCUUAUCGACGAGGGGGUUUACGACCUCGAUGUUGGAUCAGGACAUCCUAAUGGUGCAGCCGCUAUUAAGGGUUCGUUUGUUCAACGAUUAAAGUCCU